GGAGAGAGGAACGAACCAGGGAAGCGAGAGACUUACACACACCACAAGCAUUGGAAAUUGAAGGAGUUGGUGUGCAGCUCGCAAGAAGGCAGAGUCUGUGUGGACGGGCCCAGGGGCUGCACAGCUCCAGUGCUCUCUCUGCUUCUAACGUGUGCUGAGCCCUGCUCUGCUCUGCGGUGCGCUCCACUACGCUCUACGCUGCUAGCCUGUGUGACUGGCUGUCUGCGCUCAGCUGAGAAAGAGAGAGAGAAAGGGAGAGCAACUACUACUGCUACAGAUGUGAGGCUUUCCCCAGUGCUGGCUAUACUAUACCGCUCCUGAGAUCGUUCACAGCUUUGUGGAAGUUACCUGGGGCGCUGAUGUUUAGUCCGAGGACAGUGCAUGGCGACUCCUGUACCCCUGCCCUUUAGCAUUCAGCCUCCGUGCAGCGGUGUACGUCUCAUUUCCGUUGCUGCAUGUAGCUCUAAACGGCCAAGGAUAUGAGAAGAAAGAGAUAUGUUAUGUGAACCAUGUGUGACUCCCGACGCAGAUGGAAUGAAGGGCAAAAAAUAGGGGAGCUCAAAGGAUGCUGCGCCCCUCCAAACUUUCCAUCACUCCAUUCCUCCAUCUCUCCAUCACUCCAUCUCUUCAUCACUCCAUUCCUCCAUCACUCCAUUCCUCCAUCACUCCAUUCCUCCAUCUCUCC